rnacentral:rRNA from 1 species
ACGUAGGGUGCGAGCGUUAAUCGGAAUUACUGGGCGUAAAGGGCGCGUAGGCGGGAUGGCAAGUCGGUCGUGAAAUCCCUCGGCUCAACCGAGGAACGUCGAUCGAUACUGCUGUUCUUGAGGAUUGCAGAGGAGACUGGAAUUACCGGUGUAGCGGUGAAAUGCGUAGAUAUCGGUAGGAACACCAGUGGCGAAGGCGGUCUCCUGGGGCAUUUUUGACGCUGAGGCGCGAAAGCUGGGGGAGCGAACGGGA